GAUGAAGAACGCAGCGAAAUGCGAUACUUGGUGUGAAUUGCAGAAUCCCGUGAACCAUCGAGUCUUUGAACGCAAGUUGCGCCCGAAGCCACUAGGCCGAGGGCACGCCUGCCUGGGCGUCACACGUCGUUGCCCCCCCCCCAUCUACUCCUUCGGGAUUGCGGGGGGCGGAUGAUGGCCUCCCGUGCGCCUAGCCGCGCGGUUGGCAUAAAUACCAAGUCCUCGGCGACGCACGCCACGACAAUCGGUGGUUGCGAAACCUCGGUUGCCCGUCGUGUGCGUUCGUCGCGCAUCGAGGGCUCGAAAAAAUGCUCGGCUCCGGCUCGGCUUUCAACGCGACCCCAGGUCAGGCGGGGUUACCCGCUGAAUUUAAGCAUAUCAAUGCGGAGGA
rnacentral:misc_RNA from 1 species